AUUGAACGCUGGCGGCAGGCCUAACACAUGCAAGUCGAACGGUAGCACAGAGAGCUUGCUCUCGGGUGACGAGUGGCGGACGGGUGAGUAACGUCUGGGAAACUGCCCGAUGGAGGGGGAUAACUACUGGAAGCGGUAGCUAAUACCGCAUAACGUCGCAAGACCAAAGUGGGGGACCAUCGGGCCUCACACCCUCGGAUGUGCCCAGAUGGGAUUAGCUAGUAGGUGGGGUAAUGGCUCACCUAGGCGACGAUCCCUAGCUGGUCUGAGAGGAUGACCAGCCACACUGGAACUGAGACACGGUCCAGACUCCUACGGGAGGCAGCAGUGGGGAAUAUUGCACAAUGGGCGCAAGCCUGAUGCAGCCAUGCCGCGUGUAUGAAGAAGGCCUUCGGGUUGUAAAGUACUUUCAGCGGGGAGGAAGGCGGUGAAGUUAAUAGCUUCACCGAUUGACGUUACCCGCAGAAGAAGCACCGGCUAACUCCGUGCCAGCCGCCGCCGUAA
rnacentral:rRNA from 1 species